rnacentral:rRNA from 1 species
UACGAAGGGGGCUAGCGUUGCUCGGAAUCACUGGGCGUAAAGCGCACGUAGGCGGCUUACUAAGUCAGGGGUGAAAUCCUGGAGCUCAACUCCAGAACUGCCUUUGAUACUGGUGAGCUUGAGUCCGGAAGAGGUGAGUGGAACUGCGAGUGUAGAGGUGAAAUUCGUAGAUAUUCGCAAGAACACCAGUGGCGAAGGCGCUACCUGGACCGGUUCUGACGCUGAGGCGCGAAAGCGUGGGUAGCAAAACAGG